GGGAAUUGACAGGGAGAGGCGGGCUGUGGCGGGCGAGUGGGGGGAGCCUGGGAAGGGGGAGGAGAGAAGCGGGGACGGAAUGGGGAAAGGCUACAGAGGAGUACGCGGAGGACGGACGGAGGCAGGGUACGCGGAGAGGUGGGGGCUGGCGCUGAGGCAGGAACGGAAGAGGGGCGGGAGUCUACCCCAUCCCAGUUCCGGCUCCCGGCCUCCCAGUGAUUCGGUCAGUCCCCGGCCCGGCGCUGGAAGGGGAGAGGUGACGGGGCGGGGAGGAGGGGGUGGUCCCGGUGUCCUCCCCCUAACACACCCCCCACCCAGCCCGGGCCUCAUUUGCCUAAUGUAAUGCGGCUGAACUCUCGCUGAACUCGCCUGGCGGCGCCUCACCUCCGGGUGACCCACCCACCGCUGCCCGUGACAUCACCCGCUUGCCAGCCCGCUCGCGGGGCUCGCCCACCGGCCCACUGGCCCCCUCAGGCCAGGCCAGCGUCCCUGGAGCCGCGGAGAGUGGCCGCAGGAGGCGAGGGACCAGGGCGCGCGUGGCCAAGUGUUAGCGCCACGAAUGCAACGUGCAGCGUGUGCCGAGUGUCCCGGGUGUGACAUUGUGCAGCUCAGGCGUAGUGUCGGGAUGAGACACCCGGCUUGUGUCAUUGUCUGUGACAUCAUGUGUGACUCCGGCCGCCCGCCCGCCGGAACCCGACGCGGCAGCGCGUCUGCUUUGGCAUAAACGCUUGCAGAAGGGGCUCUCCUCCCCACGCUCUGCGUGCUUCCGGCGAGCAAAGCCCCGCCCAAGGUGUCUCCCAGCGGCGGAACCAGGAUUGGCCCCCCACCGCGCAAUCCAGCCCCGGAGAGAUAAGAGGAGGGGCUGGUGCCUUCCAGCUGACCACUUCCUCCCGGAAGCCCUCGGGAUGCCAGUUUCAGUGGAAGAAAGGUCUAGGUUGGGUAGUCUCCAGGCACACACACUAGGAAUACGUGGACAGAAAGGAAAAGUCUGGAGCCAGUCUUUUGGGGUUCCCAUCUCUAGCUCCUCUACUGAUUGCUUCCAACUUCCCUGCCCCCACCCCACAAAUUGAAACAAAAUAAGAAUAACAACUGUGGCUUUUA